CAAACUCCUGGCUUCAAGUGAUCCACCCGCCUCAGCCUCCCAAAGUGCUGGGAUUACAGGCGUGAGCUACCACUCCUGGCCAUCCACAGUCUCUUUCAAUUAUGGGGUAGAUCCAGGUUUGGGAGCCUGAAACACAUCAUUUGGGGAGCAAAGACGGAGGAUACAAACAUCUUUUCAUAUUUUACAAAAAAUUUUCCCUUCAACAGCUUGAGAGACGGAACUAAGCAAGAAAAGGCCCUGAGUCUUAAAUUUCAUUAGUUCCGCAGUGAACUACCUGGACCUUUCUUCCAUGACAAUCAUCAUCACGUUAUUUCAAACCCUUAUCCAAACCCUUAUCACCGUACUCUAGGACUAACACCAUUUCUCUCUGCCUCCACCUCCUGCCUACUCCAGUAGUUCCAGAGCAGGGCUCGGAAAGUCUCAACCCUGCUCAAAAAGCCCAGUCCAGACUGCCAACCCUUCACCAAGAUAUCGUCCCAGCCUGCCUUUUCAGAUCUAAUCCCAGGAGAUCCCCCACUUUAAGUACUCCUCACAAAAACCUUUAAAGGUUAAGUAAUCAGAGCAUUAUGGCAGAGUAGCAUAAGAGAAAUCGGAACGAUACAGAUAACUGUACCAUGGAGAGCUUCAAGUGACAUUCUAAAAGGAGAGUUUCCCUGCACAAGUUCUCUUCUCUUAUCUGCCGCCAUGUG
rnacentral:lncRNA from 1 species